rnacentral:rRNA from 1 species
AUUGAACGCUGGCGGCAUGCCUUACACAUGCAAGUCGAACGGCAGCACGGGAGCAAUCCUGGUGGCGAGUGGCGAACGGGUGAGUAAUAUAUCGGAACGUGCCCAGUCGUGGGGAUAACGUAGCGAAAGCUACGCUAAUACCGCAUACGAUCUAUGGAUGAAAGCGGGGGAUCGCAAGACCUCGCGCGAUUGGAGCGGCCGAUAUCAGAUUAGGUAGUUGGUGAGGUAAAGGCUCACCAAGCCGACGAUCUGUAGCUGGUCUGAGAGGACGACCAGCCACACUGGGACUGGGACACGGCCCAGACUCCUACGGGAGGCAGCAGUGGGGAAUUUUGGACAAUGGGCGCAAGCCUGAUCCAGCAAUGCCGCGUGCAGGAUGAAGGCCUCGG